rnacentral:rRNA from 1 species
CGGGUGAGUAACGCGUGGGUAACCUGCCUUGUACUGGGGGACGAACAUUGGAAACGACUGCUAAUACCGCAUAAGCGCACAGCUUCGCAUGAAGCAGUGUGAAAAACUCCGGUGGUACAAGAUGGACCCGCGUCUGAUUAGCUGGUUGGUGAGGUAACGGCCCACCAAGGCGACGAUCAGUAGCCGGCCUGAGAGGGUGAACGGCCACAUUGGGACUGAGACACGGCCCAA